AGAGAGAGAGAGAGAGAGAUGGAAAGAGAAUGAAAAGUAAUUAUAUUGAACAAAAAUCGUCUUAGGCCGUAUAUAAUAGAACUCGAAUGAGCUCAUAUUUUAACUAAGGCUACUGAAUCGCAGAAAGGGGAAACAAACUUCCCGCAUAAAAUUAUCUUCAGUCGAAAUAGUGAUCACCAUGGAUAAAAAUAUGCACUACCAUGACACAAAGUGUUAGACGUUUUGACUUUACUACACUUUCUCGUCAAC
rnacentral:lncRNA from 1 species